GGGUGACUAGUCUAGUGGUCAGGACGCUUCGUUGUGGUUCAAAAUCUUUCGUUUGAAUUUGAUUCACGGCGACCGAAGAAACCCCGGUUCGAUUCCGGGGUCGCCCA